UACGUAGGGGGCUAGCGUUGUCCGGAUUUAUUGGGCGUAAAGAGCUCGUAGGCGGUCUGUCGCGUCUGCUGUGAGAAUCCAGGGCUCAACCCUGGACCUGCAGUGGGUACGGGCAGACUAGAGUGCGGUAGGGGAGAUCGGAAUUCCUGGUGUAGCGGUGAAAUGCGCAGAUAUCAGGAGGAACACCGGUGGCGAAGGCGGAUCUCUGGGCCGUAACUGACGCUGAGGAGCGAAAGCAUGGGGAGCGAACAGG
rnacentral:rRNA from 1 species